rnacentral:rRNA from 1 species
UACGUAGGGUCCGAGCGUUGUCCGGAAUUAUUGGGCGUAAAGAGCUCGUAGGCGGUUUGUCGCGUCGGCCGUGAAAACUUGGGGCUUAACUCCAAGCUUGCGGUCGAUACGGGCAGACUUGAGUUCGGCAGGGGAGACUGGAAUUCCUGGUGUAGCGGUGAAAUGCGCAGAUAUCAGGAGGAACACCGGUGGCGAAGGCGGGUCUCUGGGCCGAUACUGACGCUGAGGAGCGAAAGCGUGGGGAGCGAACAGG